GACGAACGCUGGCGGCGUGCUUAACACAUGCAAGUCGAACGAAGUGGCGAACGGGUGAGUACUACUUGGUUAACCUGCCCUCCUUUUUGUGAUAAUCCUUGUAAACUGGGUCUAAUACCGAAUAAAGGGGGCUGUGCUCGCGGCCUAUCAGCUUGUUGGUGGUGUGAUGGCCUACCAAGGAGGUGACGGGUAACCGGCCUGAGAGGGUGACUGGGCACAUUGGGCGGGAGAUACGGCACAGGCUGCUACGGGAGGCAGCAGUGGGGGAUAGGGCAAAAGGCGCGAGAGCCUGAUGCAGGGACGCCGCGUGGGGGAUGAAGGCUUUAGGGUUGUAAACCGCUGUAGCUAUCGAACGGGUAGGUGGAGAAGAAGCGCCGGCUAACUACGUGCCAGCAGCCGCGGUAAUUC
rnacentral:rRNA from 1 species